GAAAUAAUUGAUGCUUCAUUGAAAGAAACCAGGCAAAUUGAAAUGUGUGCUAUACUGGCCGGAAAAGAGAGGGAUAUAUGGAAAAGUUGAGGUUCUGGUUAUCAGUGUAAAUGAAUGUGAUAACUACACCAUUCGAAACCUUGUCUUAAAGAAAUAAAUUGCCAGCAAGAUGGGGGUGAUAAAAGGCAUUCAGUAUUGUGGUUUGGAUGACUUUUAGUUCUGCAAGUGAAUGAGGCAUUUGGUGGCUGUUGCUAUUUUCAGCAAGGAAGCCACACCCAACAUGUGAAGCAUUACUGGUACACCUCAUGGCCUGAUCACAAGACUCCAGACAGUGCCCAGCCCCUCCUACAGCUCAUGCUGGAUGUAGAAGAAGACAGACUUGCUUCCCAGGGCCGAGGGCCUGUGGUUGUCCACUGCAGUGCAGGAAUAGGUAGAACAGGGUGUUUUAUUGCUACAUCCAUUGGCUGUCGACAGCUGAAAGAAGAAGGAGUUGUGGAUGCACUAAGCAUUGUCUGCCAGCUUCGUAUGGAUAGAGGUGGAAUGGUGCAAACCAGUGAGCAGUAUGAAUUUGUGCACCAUGCUCUGUGCCUGUAUGAGAGCAGACUUUCAGCAGAGACUGUCCAGUGAGUCAUUGAAGACUUGUCAGACCAUCAAUCUCUUGGGGUGAUUAAUCAAAUUACCCACCCAAGGCUUCUAGAAGGAGCUUCCUGCAAUGGAAGGAAGGAGAAGCUCUGAAGCCCAUGUAUGGCAUGGAUUGUGGAAGACUGGGCAACAUAUUUAAGAUUUCCAGCUCCUUGUGUAUAUGAAUGCAUUUGUAAGCAUCCCCCAAAUUAUUCUGAAGGUUUUUUGAUGAUGGAGGUAUGAUAGGUUUAUCACACAGCCUAAGGCAGAUUUUGUUUUGUCUGUACUGACUCUAUCUGCCACACAGAAUGUAUGUAUGUAAUAUUCAGUAAUAAAUGUCAUCAGGUGAUGACUGGAUGAGCUGCUGAAGACAUUCGUAUUAUGUGUUAGAUGCUUUAAUGUUUGCAAAAUCUGUCUUGUGAAUGGACUGUCAGCUGUUAAACUGUUCCUGUUUUGAAGUGCUAUUACCUUUCUCAGUUACCAGAAUCUUGCUGCUAAAGUUGCAAGUGAUUGAUAAUGGAUUUUUAACAAAGAAGUCUUUGUUUUUGAAAAACAAAAAUCAAAAACAGUAACUAUUUUAUAUGGAAAUGUGUCUUGAUAAUAUUACCUAUUAAAUGUGUAUUUAUAGUCCCUCCUAUCAAACAAUUACAGAGCACAAUGAUUGUCACUGGGUAUAUAUGUAUUUACUCUCUAUUACUGGGCAUAGAGGUGGCUUCUGCUCCAGAACUCUAUCCACUGUAUUUCCACAUCGUGAGUCAUUUUACUUUAAAAGGGAAAAACAAAUUUGUAGCAACUAUGAAGUAUCAAGAGUUUUAACUACUUGUCUCUCUUUUGCUAAGAAGGGAUUUUUGAAUAUGCUAUCUACCUGGAAUCUCUCUCUCAACAAAAGGUAUAUGCCUUCAGGAAUGACAUAAUCUGUCCCAUUUUCGAGGUUCCUUAUAAGGACAUUUCCAGGUAUGUCCUUACAUUUCUGAAAGCUUUCAGUCUUCAAGAGACAAAAAAAAUUAAAAUAACUACCCUCAGCAAACACUAGCUGUUCUGCUCAUAUAUGAAUUUUUAAUGCAGCAAUGUUGACUUUGUUUCAUACUGCCAAUAAACUCUUAAUACU
rnacentral:sRNA from 1 species